UGCCCACACGUGCCUAGCUCUCCCCGCGUGCAAGCCGCGCCGCGCCGCCUGCACUGCAAGCCGAGCCGCGCCUCCUUGCUGACGCGAGCCGAGCCGCGUCUCCUCCCUGAUGCAAGCCGAGCCGCCCGCGUAGCUUCCUGUACCGAGCCGAGCCGCGUCUGCCCAAGCCGAGCCGGUCCUGUCUUCUUCCAGCCGAGCCGCCAGGACUAAAUUGGCUCCAUCCACCUAUAUUUUGGGACGUCUUGGACCAAGAAUUUACUGCAGCGCGGGAUUUCUUCAGUAGGGGCUCGAGCACUGCAACCUCCUUCUAGGCUAGGACUUCGUCGCUUGGAAAGCGUACUGCCUCGCGGUUAGGACUCGACAAGUAGAUCUCCAGGUAAGAGAUUCUACUACUAGUUUCAUGUUUGAAGUAUGAGACUGUGUAUGCCCUAUGUUGCAUAUUGAGAAAUUGACAGUAUGAUGCCUGAAAUAAAUGUUAGUAUGAUGCAAAUGACGAUAUAGUUGUGCUAUAGCCUGUUAUGUGUGGCAAGAUCUAUUUUUGGUUACGACGAAUGUCGGGACGGAGAGUGUAGAAAUGAUUUAUGUGACAUGUUAUAUGCUGAUGCCAUGUGUAUGUAUACUGCAAUUAGAGUACCUGUUAGCUCGAUUCUGUUAGAGUCGUACCUGCAUGGGUGUCCUUCGGGAUCACCACCUUCUGAGGACUGUGUGGUCCGACGGGACGCCAGUCUAGCAUGAUAUAGACAUGACUCGAGUGACUCGACGGGGUCCUCGCAUCCCGAUUGUCCUAGGUGUCCCCGGGCACCGAAGACCAGAGCUACGUUCCUACGGGAGCGCAUGAUUGCACGUGUUCGGGAACGUGCCAGAGAUUGGGUACCAGUUAUCAGGACUCUAACAGGAAGUUAACAGGCACCUAGUGGGACUAGUAGUGGGUCCCUUACUGAGUAUUUUUAUACUCAUUCUCUCCAUUUUAUGU